AGGGGCUUAGGAUAGCACGAGACCGAGAGCCUUCAAAGCUCUAAGCAGAAGUGAAAAUCUUCUAGCCCCUG
rnacentral:tRNA from 1 species